rnacentral:rRNA from 1 species
GACAGAGGCCCCAAGCGUUAGGCGGAAUCACUGGGCUUAAAGCGCGUGUAGGCGGCCCGGUAAGUCCGCUGUAAAAGUCGGGGGCUCAACCCUCGAAUGCCGGUGGAUACUGUCGGGCUAGAGUGCGGAAGAGGCGAGUGGAAUUCCUGGGUGUAGCGGUGAAAUGCGCAGAUAUCAGGAGGAACACCUAUUGCGAAGGCAGCUCGCUGGGACGUUACUGACGCUGAGACGCGAAAGCGUGGGGAGCAAACAGG